rnacentral:rRNA from 1 species
GAGUAACUAUGACUCUCUUAAGGUAGCCAAAUGCCUCGUCAUCGUAUGUCGUGUAUAAAGGGAUCGGUUUAAACGGGUCGGUUCGAGAGCUUAUCGUAUAGACGUAUACCGGUAAGCUUCGAGUCGACUCGAAGGGUUGCGGUCAAGGGCUUAUCGUAUAGACGUAUCGAUAGGCCUUCGACUCGACUCGAAGGGUUGGGGGGGGUCAAGGGCUUAUCGGCAGACGUAUCGGUAGGCCUUCGACUCGACUCGACUCGACUCGAAGGGUUGCGGUCAAGCCUAUACGUAUAGACGUAUCGUUAGGCUUCGACUCGACUCGACUCGAAGGGUUGCGGUCAAGGGCUUAUCGGUAGACGUAUCGGUUAGUCCUUCGACUCGACUCGAAGGGUUUGGGGGUCAAGGGCUUAUCGGUAGACGUAUCGAUAGGCCUUCGACUCGACUCGAAGGGUUAGGGUCAAGGCUUGGCGGUAGACGUAUCGAUAGGCCUUCGACUCGACUCGAAGGGUUGCGGUCAAGGGCUUAUCGGUAGACGUAUCGGUAGGCCUUCGACUCGACUCGAAGGGUUGGGGUCGUCAAGGCUUGUCGGUAGACGUAUCGAUAGGCCUUCGACUCGACUCGGGUCGCCUCGAAGCGUGAGGGCGUUAAGCCUAAGCAGCUUCCCAAGCUAUCGUGUAUAGGCGUAUAGGCGUAAUCAACCUUGGAUCGAUAAGCUUUCCCGUGAUCACUCAUUGGUGGUCAAACCGCUAUUGUCAAAUCGCAUGGAUCGAACCGUCGGGUUAGAGACUAGCGACCAAACCGUCGAAGACGGGGGGGAGAGACUGAACGGCAUAGCGCGUUAGGGAGCGGUUUAGCGUUCGAAAACGGGUAAGAUACCGGCAGUAGAACCUAAUCGUACAAAGAAUCAGUCCGCUUUAUCGCUUGACCGGUCUAACCGGUUCGGGUGGUAUGGCACGUAAGAGGUACCUGCGAACAGUACGUCACUCGAGGGCGUGCUCGGUAGCGAGUAAGACGGGUAAGAAAGAAAACCAAAGCUUACGGUAAAAUGUGUUAAUUUGUGACGCGCAUGAAUGGAUUAAUGAGAUUCCCACUGUCCCUACCUACUAUCUAGCGAAACCACAGCCAAGGGAACGGGCUUGGCACAAUUAGCGGGGAAAGAAGACCCUGUUGAGCUUGACUCUAGGCAUAGACGCGAGGUGAUUCUAAAGGUGUAGCAUAGGUGGGAGGGCCCCUUGCCCGUCCAUGAAAUACCACCACUUUCGACAUCGCUUUGCUAAUGCUGUAACGAACGAACGGAACCGCGUCCCUCUCGUCGCAAGAUGGGGGAAGGGAUAGGCAAUCCAAAUUCUAGCGCUUUCCACGCUCUCAUGAUGUGGCGGCUCCCCUGGGUGAGUACCGCGAGACCGUACGCUGAGCUUCCGAGCCCGGUAAACGCUGUCCUCGUGGGAACCAGAGACGGUCGUCGUGUCCUCUGAGGGCUUCAAGUUGGUACGUAAGCCGUGUAGCAGACUAUCUAUGUUGGGGAGUUUGGCUGGGGCGGAAAACUGCUACACGGCAACGGCAGUCUCCUAAGGUCCACUCAGAGACGACAGAAACGUCUCGUAGAGCAUAAAGGCAAAAGUGGGCUUAACUCGCAUUUUCAGUAGUAAUGUGAAGCAAGAAAUUGCGGCUUAACGAUCCUUAGCGGCGGGUGCCAGCCCACGCUUGAGGUGAGAGAAAAGUUACCACAGGGAUUGAUACUUCGAUACAGUAACUAUGACAACACACGGGGGGGGGGGGCGGCGGGAGGCAGGCGAAAGGGGAAUGCAUGAGCGCGACCUGAGCGUUAAGAUGGGUCGCUACCAUUAAACGAUCAAACUGCCAGGUGCUAGUACCCAUUCAAACGCCUUCUCCCCCCCCCCCCUACACGGGUCCCAUAAUAGUCGAUCGAGCAACCGCCGCUCCGGUUAAAAGUGCAGGUUCACCAAGCGGGCAGGUUUAUCCAAAUCGAUCGGCGACGCACCUGGAUGCUGGGACGACUCAUAGGGCGAACCCCGGCAAGGGGCGAACCCCUUAAAUGACGAUGGUACCAAGCGUUCCCUGGUUACACCGGGGCGUGGAGCGUCUAAAGUCUUCGAGGCUUUCGCGGGUCAUAAUCCUAUCGAUCAGGGUCUAUCAGCAGGCGACAAGGCCAUCCAGCCAACGCGAUACGGAAUCUGACCAGCCUUUCGAGGCAGGCAGCUCCACACAGCGAUGGCGGGUAAAAACGAUGGUUAAGCGCUUCAACGACUGGAAAGGUGUGGGUGUGAGUGGAGGGAGGCCAGGCUGAUCGGAAGGGAGGGAGAUAGGGGCGAACUAGGCUGCUCACGCGGCCUGACCCGCCUCCCCCACUCGUUUGAUCGGCCAGCUUCGCUUCGCACAUGCUUAAGGAACAGUCUCACCCGGCCCUCAGUAAGCGAGCUGGCUUCGGUCUAGGCCCUUUCAUUAGGGCUGAAGCCGGGGUCACGCGAGCGAAAGGGGCUGCCGCGCCACUCAACCCACCACUGCAGGGCUAGAGCGCGGGUGGAAGUUAAAUUUCUUUCAGGCUUCCUGGUAGGCGUAAGGUAAUUCGGAACUGGCUUGUGACCGCCAAGCGUUCAUAGCGACGUGGC